rnacentral:misc_RNA from 1 species
CGGAUUGAAACUAUCAAAGGAUAGAGCACGUCGACGUGCCGGACAUAUGGUAUCGCCCGGCUACAAAGCCGGGCG